rnacentral:rRNA from 1 species
UACGGAGGGUGCGAGCGUUGUCCGGAAUCACUGGGCGUAAAGGGCGCGUAGGCGGCCCGGCAAGUCUGUGGUGAAAGCUCAGGCUCAACUCUGAGUCGGCCACGGAUACUGCGGGGCUCGGAGCACGGUAGAGGCAGGUGGAAUUCCGGUGUAGCGGUGAAAUGCGUAGAGAUCGGAAGGAACACCAGUGGCGAAGGCGGCUACCUGGACAGAUACUGACGCUGAGGCGCGAGAGCGUGGGGAGCAAACAGG